CAGUAGCCGCGGUAAUACGGAGGGUGCGAGCGUUAAUCGGAAUUACUGGGCGUAAAGCGUACGCAGGCGGUUUGUUAAGUCAGAUGUGAAAUCCCCGGGCUUAACCCGGGAACUGCAUUUGAAACUGGCAGGCUAGAGUCUCGUAGAGGGGGGUAGAAUUCCAGGUGUAGCGGUGAAAUGCGUAGAGAUCUGGAGGAAUACCGGUGGCGAAGGCGGCCCCCUGGACGAAGACUGACGCUCAGGUACGAAAGCGUGGGGAGCAAACAGGAUUAGAUACCCGAGUAGUCCCUGUCUCUUAUAC
rnacentral:rRNA from 1 species